rnacentral:misc_RNA from 1 species
AACGGUCUAUACCUGCGGUACCUGCGGAAGGAUCAUUACUGAGUGAGGGCCCCUCGGGGUCCAACCUCCCACCCGUGUUUAACGAACCUUUGUUGCUUCGGCGGGCCCGCCUCACGGCCGCCGGGGGGCUCCUGCCCCCGGGCCCGCGCCCGCCGAAGCCCCCCCUUGAACGCUGUCUGAAGUUUGCAGUCUGAGAAACUAGCUAAAUUAGUUAAAACUUUUAGCAAUGGAUCUCUAGAU